CGGCGCGCCGGUGACGUCACGGCCCGCGCCCGGCCAUUGAUUCCCGGCUGAAGGUAGCGCGGGCGACGUGGUGGGGGAGGGCGGGGGGAGGGUCCGGCGGCGGCGGCCACCCGGCGCGGGCUGCGUCCCGAGGAAUUCCCGGACGCGGUAAGUGGCUGUCCCCUUCUCCGCCGUCACCUGCCCGGGCCCGGCUUGCAUGGCCUCUGCAGCCUCGGGGGCUGUGGGAAGGGGAAACGCGGGGGAUGUCGUGGGGGGCGCAGAAGGUGGCCGCAGGGGCAGCCAGGGGACGCCGCGGCUGCUGGGGACAGCGGCGGGGCCCCGCAGCCUUCCGGGAGCGGGCGCGGGGCCCGUGCCUCGGGUGCGUGUGUGUGCAGCCCUGUGCACGCGGGUGUGGGCGGCCGAGGCUGCGCACGGAGGCUCUGCCGGCCGCGCCAGCCGGAGCCGAGCAGCUGGGUACCCGGGCCCCGGGUCCUCUGUCGCCGCCCCCGCCUCCGAGAAGGACUGGAGAGCGCGGCGCCUGGGACCGCUCCUGGGACGCGCCUUCCAGCGCCUUCUCCCACAAACGCACUGGACCAGCAGCGCACCCCGGGGAUAAUACCCGCUGCCCGAGCGUGUCUCGCUCAGUGACGGCGUGGGAGGCCACCGCGGAGAGCCCGCUGCGGGGUCACGGCCGCUGCGCACAGCCUCCGUCUGGCUCUGGUGCAGGAGGCCUAGUUGCGUCACCUCCCUUUCCUUCAUCUGUUUGGCUUGAUUCCUGGGCCCCACUGGAGGCAUUGUCCAGAUGUGAACCAAGAUUUGGCCUUUUCACCAAGAGAAAAGGGAAGGCUCAUGGGCAUGGGCACACAGUGCUGAGAUCGUGGGCACACAGUAGGUAUUUGGUAAAUGCUUAUGGAAAGAACAAAUCUUGAGGCAUUGUCAUUCUUGCCAGAAGGAGGCCCUAUGCUUAAUGCCACCAAGUCUCCUUAAGCUAGCUAUUUUUAUACUACAACACAUUGUAACAUAAGCAUCUGAUUCGUGGAUUUAAAGAUCUGAAACUCUUUCAGACCAAGAUUGGUGUUAUUAUCUGUGACUAACUGAUUAGAGUUUUUAAGUAUGCGAACAAUGGAAUCUGAGCUUUUGGGCUUUUGUAGUGAUCUCUUGAGAUAUACCAAUUUGUUUUGCUCUAACAUCUGUUCAACUUGGACUUUAAUGGGUA
rnacentral:lncRNA from 1 species